rnacentral:misc_RNA from 1 species
UGGAAGUGCACUGUGAC